AGUAAAGUCAGCUAAGUAAAGCUUUUGGGCCCAUGCCCCAAACAUGAUGGUUAGAGUCCCUCCUAUACUA
rnacentral:tRNA from 1 species